UAAGACAGAGGAGCCAAGCGUUGUCCGGAUUGACUGGGCGUAAAGGGCACGCAGGCGGCGCCGCGCGUGGGGUGUGAAAGCGGGUGGCUUAACUGCCCAAGGUCAUCCCAUACGGCGGUGCUGGAGCCAUCCAGAGGUCGGUGGAAUUGCCGGUGUAGUGGUGAAAUGCGUAGAGAUCGGCAGGAACACCCAGGGGGAAACCAGCCGACUGGGGAUGCGCUGACGCUGAGGUGCGAGAGCGUGGGGAGCGAACCGGAUUAGAUACCCGGGUAGUCCACGCCGUAAACGAUGAUCACUCGGCCUUUGUGAGCGGUAUUUCCGCUCGUGGGGGCCUCAGCAAACGCGGUAAGUGAUCCGCCUGGGAACUACGAGCGCAAGCUUA
rnacentral:rRNA from 1 species